AGUACUUUCAUUGCUUUCUCAGAAGACUAUUAAUACUUUUAUUUGUGUGUUAUACACAUUGUUUUUAAUCCCUCUGUUGUAGGAUAAAGAACAGCCAAGGAUGACCUUGUUGCAUACUCUAGAUCAGCUGAUCAAUUCCUGUUGAUAAGUGGACCAAGGAAAGGAGAGGAAGACAUAUGCAAUAAUGUCCCAGGACCUUCUCCUGGGCAGUGCUGAUGUUGAAAAGAUGUACAGUGAAAGAUAAAUAGGAACAGCUAAGCAAGCUCUGACAAGCUUUGGAACCUGAUAUGAGAUUGCAUUGUAUUAUACCACCUAAAGAGGAUGCCAGAGUCAUCAAAUUGAUAAGAGUUGCUUGUUCCACUAAAUAAAUCUCUUUUUCAGAAGGAAAACGAAUCACAGAAUAUGUCUGGUUUGAAGAGAUCCCAAAAGAUCAUCCAGUCCAGCCCUUGACUGAAGGGUCAACACUAAGCUGCAUCCCUAACCACGAGGUCCACAUGCAGCUUGAAUAAUCCCAGGUCCCUUGGAAAACUCAACCGUCGAUGUUUAAUAACUAUUUCUUCUGGUGCAGCAAGCAGUGGAGAUGUACAAAAGCAGCCAAGGCAUGUAAUUCAUGGAAUACCAAAGUGUGUUUCAUAAAAGUGGCUGGAGAAUGAACUGGAUUGAGAAGGUUCAGUGUUGCUCAGGAGGUUGUGAUUGCAGCGCUGGCUCUAUAUUCCUGUGUGAAAAAUCUAACUGGGACUCCUCUCACUGAACUUUAGACAUUUCAACUGAGAUGCCUGAGGUAACUUUAAUAAUGUGUUUCUCAAGUCUUCUUCCUUCAGUUGAUGAAAAUAGUGACCUGUCUUCCAAAGAAUUUCAAAAGAACUGGAAAACUUCCACUACAGCAUGGUGUUCUCCCAGGUGACGAGGUUCAGACUAAGCUGCUCCUGAUCCGUAACGUCACACUGGAUGAACACCGUCCUCUGUGCUUCAAACUGCUCGUCCAGGGCUCCCUUGCUUUCCUGCCCGGCCUCGGAGUUGCGGUCCAGCAGGGCUACCUGAGCGGAGAGGAAGGGAGAAGCUCGCCUGAACGAAGGCUCUGCCGAUGCCCUGCGCCCCACCGGUGACCAGAGCCACCUUGCCAUUGACGUGCAUGGUCGUCGCGCUGCUGCCGCCGGCCCCGCGCCCGCCGAGCUGGAGUAACCUAGCGCGGUGUCACCUGCCCAGUUUCCUUCCUUCCUUCCUCCCUCCCUCCUUCGCUCGCUCCCUCCCUCCCUCCCUCCUGCCGUCCCUCUUUCCUUCCUUCCCUCCCUCCUCCUCCUGCCGCUGCUCUUUGUCGUGUCCCCCCCCCGCCGCCCCGCUACCCUCUUGUGUGACCAGGAGCCGCCCGGAGCUGCCUGGGCGGGGGGAGCAGGGGUGGAGUAGGUCAUUAAAUCUUUCUCCCAAGUGCCUCGAUAAACCCCAGCGAUCAGGAUCUUCAUCCUUUCUUCAGCCCGCUGGGUUUUCCGGCGAAGGACCAGCUCUUGCCAUUCGGUCCCCGGGGCAGCUCCAUUUCCCCGCAGACUGGAGAAGGAGCGUUUGUGUCUCCACAUGCCGUGUGAAAAACAGCUACAACCUUUGAUAAGAGCUCUUGGCAGCAACUAAGGCUGAUUGGCCCAAGUUGUGAGAGCAGCAGGAUGAAGAAUUGAAAGAAAACUUAGUCUCGAUAAAAAACGGUCGCAGAACCUUUUUUUCGCACUUCAAAAUGCCAACCAGCCCUCUCCCUCUCGUUCUACCAGUAAGCAGACUCUCUUUGCAUGACAAAGCAGCCACUAAGCAUUAUGCGUGUCAGAUGCAUCAGGAUAAGUAUUUUCUAGAAAUUGCCAGGUCUGUGGAUAACACGGAUUGUAGCUUAAAAAGUGUUUAUGUUUAUGGUUUAUAAGCCGUAUUCUGCUACAUAAUGUGAACUAAAUGCCACUAAAACUUAAUCAGUACUCAGAUAUAUCAGCACACAGCAGAAAUAAGAGCAAUCUUAAAGAUCUGAAAGCUGAAAUCAAAUUUCUUCUUCAUUAGCCUGUUAGAAAGUUUUCCAAAUGUUGUCCCAUAGAAAAUAAAACAUGGAGAGUUGGGCAGAUGGGAAUGACCCACCAUUCCAGUCCUAAGCUUUAUAAAUAUACAUACAGCAUGUAUGUGUGUCUGUGUAUUAACAUUAUCUUUUGGCUUCUUUGUUUUCUUUUGCCUGGUGUAUUAGAUUAAAACUUUUCUCUUGUCCUUUCAUGGCCCUGAAGUACUCUGAGUCCACCUGCAUCCCUAUCAUUAUUGACUGUUGUUAUUUUUCCUUUCUUAGCAACAGUAUGCCUAUUUUACCCCAUCUGUUAUUCCAGCUGCCUAGUUUAUUUUAGGCUGUCUUCAUGUGUGGAAUUCCCUUCUUUAGUACUACCUAGAAGAAACAGAUUAUACCUUCUUCCAACAUCACUGAAGUGUUACAGAACCCUUAAGGUAACUAUGUUACCUAAUUGAGUAAAUUGAGUAACACAAGAUCUUGUUGUUAUUAUAACCUUUGUCCUUAAAAAUGUGAACUAAUAUAAUCCAGCUGCUAAAUUGGAUAGCAGCCAUUUAGUUUUCCUGAAGAUCAUGAUUCAUAGUGCUUCAUAAAGGCAGACAGAGCUGGCCUCUGGGAUUAGUGAUUUGUCUGAAUACUAUACCUGCAUUACUGGGAAGGCUCCAGAUUGCUUAGGAGCUGUGAAAUUUGUGCCACCUAAACUGUCAUACCUAAUGAUCUCUUUCCCAAUCAGCUGAGCUAGCUUCCUUAAUUUGUUGAGAGACAAGCACAGUGCCAGGUCAAACACAUAUCAUGAGAACAGUAUUACCACACAGGAACCUAACAAUACUGUCACAGUGCAGUCUUUCACCCUCAACCCAACCCUAGUAACUCCCCCCCACCCCAAGUUCUUGCCAAGUCAUCAUCAACACUUGUCAUGGUCUUUAUUUCCACAAUAUUUUACUCUGGUGGGGUUUGGUUGGUUGGUUUUUUUUGUUUGUUUGUGUUUUUUUUAAGUGCUAUGCAAAAGAAAAGAUCAA